CUAGCCAUGCGAGUCAUAUGUUCUUCGUGAACAUGGCGUACUGCUCAGUAACACGUGGAUAACCUGCCCUUGGGUCCGGCAUAACCCCGGGAAACUGGGGAUAAUUCCGGAUAACGCAUAUAUGCUGGAAUGCUUUCUGCGUAAAAUGGAUUCGUCUGCCCAAGGAUGGGUCUGCGGCCUAUCAGGUAGUAGUGGGUGUAAUGUACCUACUAGCCGACGACGGGUACGGGUUGUGAGAGCAAGAGCCCGGAGAUGGAUUCUGAGACAUGAAUCCAGGCCCUACGGGGCGCAGCAGGCGCGAAAACUUUACAAUGCGGGAAACCGUGAUAAGGGGACACCGAGUGCCAGCAUCAUAUGCUGGCUGUCCGGGUGUGUAAAAUACACCCGUUAGCAAGGGCCGGGCAAGACCGGUGCCAGCCGCCGCGGUAACACCGGCGGCCCGAGUGGUGAUCGUGAUUAUUGGGUCUAAAGGGUCCGUAGCCGGUUUGGUCAGUCCUCCGGGAAAUCUGAUAGCUCAACUAUUAGGCUUUCGGGGGAUACUGCCAGGCUUGGAACCGGGAGAGGUAAGAGGUACUACAGGGGUAGGAGUGAAAUCUUGUAAUCCCUGUGGGACCACCUGUGGCGAAGGCGUCUUACCAGAACGGGUUCGACGGCGAGGGACGAAAGCUGGGGGCACGAACCGGAUUAGAUACCCGGGUAGUCCCAGCCGUAAACGAUGCUCGCUAGGUGUCAGGCAUGGCGCGACCGUGUCUGGUGCCGCAGGGAAGCCGUGAAGCGAGCCACCUGGGAAGUACGGCCGCAAGGCUGAAACUUAAAGGAAUUGGCGGGGGAGCACAACAACGGGUGGAGCCUGCGGUUUAAUUGGACUCAACGCCGGACAACUCACCGGGGGCGACAGCAAUAUGUAGGCCAAGCUGAAGACUUCGCC
rnacentral:rRNA from 1 species